AGAGUUGAUCAUGGCUCAGGAUGAACGCUGGCGGCGUGCUUAACACAUGCAAGUCGAACGAACCUUCGGGUUAGUGGCGGACGGGUGAGUAACGCGUGAGAAUCUGCCCUCAGGAGGGGGAUAACGGUUGGAAACGACCGCUAAUACCCCAUAUGCCUACUGGUGAAAUGAAUUUCGCCUGAGGAUGAGCUCGCGUCUGAUUAGCUAGUUGGUGAGGUAAUGGCUCACCAAGGCUUCGAUCAGUAGCUGGUCUGAGAGGAUGAUCAGCCACACUGGGACUGAGACACGGCCCAGACUCCUACGGGAGGCAGCAGUGGGGAAUUUUCCGCAAUGGGCGAAAGCCUGACGGAGCAACGCCGCGUGAGGGACGAAGGCCUCUGGGCUGUAAACCUCUUUUCUCAAGGAAGAAGAUAUGACGGUACUUGAGGAAUAAGCCACGGCUAAUUCCGUGCCAGCAGCCGCGGUAAUACGGGAGUGGCAAGCGUUAUCCGGAAUUAUUGGGCGUAAAGCGUCCGCAGGCGGCUUUUCAAGUCUGCUGUUAAAGCGUGGAGCUUAACUCCAUCAUGGCAGUGGAAACUGAAAGGCUUGAGUAUGGUAGGGGCAGAGGGAAUUCCCGGUGUAGCGGUGAAAUGCGUAGAUAUCGGGAAGAACACCAGUGGCGAAGGCGCUCUGCUGGGCCAUUACUGACGCUCAUGGACGAAAGCCAGGGGAGCGAAAGGGAUUAGAUACCCCUGUAGUCCUGGCCGUAAACGAUGAACACUAGGUGUCGGGGGAAUCGACCCCUUCGGUGUCGUAGCUAACGCGUUAAGUGUUCCGCCUGGGGAGUACGCACGCAAGUGUGAAACUCAAAGGAAUUGACAGGGGCCCGCACAAGCGGUGGAGUAUGUGGUUUAAUUCGAUGCAACGCGAAGAACCUUACCAGGGUUUGACAUCCUGCGAACCUCUUAGAAAUUUGAGGGUGCCUUCGGGAAUGCAGUGACAGGUGGUGCAUGGCUGUCGUCAGCUCGUGUCGUGAGAUGUUGGGUUAAGUCCCGCAACGAGCGCAACCCACGUUUUUAGUUGCCAGCAUUUAGUUGGGCACUCUAGAAAGACCGCCGGUGAUAAACCGGAGGAAGGUGUGGAUGACGUCAAGUCAUCAUGCCCCUUACACCCUGGGCUACACACGUACUACAAUGCUACGGACAAAGGGCAGCAAACUCGCGAGAGCUAGCAAAUCCCAUAAACCGUGGCUCAGUUCAGAUCGUAGGCUGCAACUCGCCUACGUGAAGUAGGAAUCGCUAGUAAUCGCAGGUCAGCAUACUGCGGUGAAUACGUUCCCGGGCCUUGUACACACCGCCCGUCACACCAUGGAAGUUGGCCAUGCCCGAAGUCGUUACUCCAACCCUUGUGGAGGAGGACGCCGAAGGUGGGGCUAAUGACUGGGGUGAAGUCGUAACAAGGUAACCGUA
rnacentral:rRNA from 1 species